rnacentral:snRNA from 1 species
AUACUUACCUGGCAGGGGAGAUACCAUGAUCAGGAAGGUGGUUUUCCCAGGGCGAGGCUUAUCCAUUGCACUCGGGAUGUGCUGACCCCUGCGAUUUCCCCAAAUGUGGGAAACUCGACUGCACAAUUUGUGGUAGUGGGGGACUGCGUUCGCGCUUUCCCCUG